CCACGCAUGCUUAAACUCCUUUACUGUGUUAACCUCGGGGGCCCCUAAUGUGUUUGCGCAAUAGUUAACCUCUAUACUUUCCCAUGGGGACGCCUAAUGUGUGUGCGCAAUAGUUAACCUCUAUACUGUCCCAUGGGGACGCCUAAUGUGUGUGCGCAAUGUUGCCGGAGAGGGUACCUCAGCGCUGGAAUCAGGUAUGUGAAAUAAAGGGGUUUUAACCCUUUCUUAACUGCUGUGGGGACAGGGCAAUGGGACAAUAUAGCGUUAGGAAUACAGUUUUGUCACAGUAUACAG